rnacentral:rRNA from 1 species
UUAGAUACCCUGGUAGUCCGCGCAGUAAACGAUGAUUACUAACUGUUGGCGAUAUAUUGUCAGUGGUCAAGCGAAAGCGAUAAGUAAUCCACCUGGGGAGUACGACCGCAAGGUUGAAACUCAAAGGAAUUGACGGGGGCCCGCACAAGCGGAGGAACAUGUGGUUUAAUUCGAUGAUACGCGAGGAACCUUACCCGGGCUUGAAAUGGAGUGGAAUAGAUUGGAAACAGUUUAGUCAGCAAUGACCACUUUGUAGGUGCUGCAUGGUUGUCGUCAGCUCGUGCCGUGAGGUGUCGGCUUAAGUGCCAUAACGAGCGCAACCCUUGUCAUUAGUUACUAACAGGUUAGGCUGAGGACUCUAAUGAGACUGCCACCGUAAGGUGCGAGGAAGGUGGGGAUGACGUCAAAUCAGCACGGCCCUUACGUCCGGGGCGACACACGUGUUACAAUGGGUAGUACAGAGGGUUGCGAGACAGUGAUGUUAAGCUAAUCCCAUAAAACUAUUCUCAGUUCGGAUUGGAGUCUGCAACUCGACUCCAUGAAGCUGGAUUCGCUAGUAAUCGCGCAUCAGCCAUGGCGCGGUGAAUACGUUCCCGGGCCUUGUACACACCGCCCGUCAAGCCAUGGGAGUUGGGGGGACCUGAAGUACGUGACCGUAAGGAGCGUCCUAGGGUAAAACCGAUGACUGGGGCUAAGUCGUAACAAGGUAACCGUA